rnacentral:rRNA from 1 species
UACGUAGGGUGCAAGCGUUUAAUCGGAAUUACUGGGCGUAAAGCGUGCGCAGGCGGUUUCUUAAGUCAGAUGUGAAAGCCCCCGGGCUCAACCUGGGAAUUGCGAUGAAGACUGCAAGGCUUGAAUCUGGCAGAGGGGGGUAGAAUUCCACGUGUAGCAGUGAAAUGCGUAGAGAUGUGGAGGAACACCGAUGGCGAAGGCAGCCUCCUGGGCCAGCACUGACGCUCAUGCACGAAAGCGUGGGGAGCAAACAGG